rnacentral:rRNA from 1 species
CGGCGGACGGCUGAGUAACGCGUGGGAACGUACCCUAAAGUGAGGAAUAACUGCCCGAAAGGGUAGCUAAUGCCGCAUAUGAUCUUCGGAUUAAAGGAUUUAUCCGCUUUGGGAGUGGCCCGCGUUCGAUUAGGUAGUUGGUGAGGUAAAGGCUCACCAAGCCCACGAUCGAUAACUGGUCUGAGAGGAUGACCAGUCAGACUGGAACUGAGACACGGUCCAGACUCCUACGGGAGGCAGCAGUGAGGAAUCUUCCACAAUGGGCGAAAGCCUGAUGGAGCGACGCCGCGUGCAGGAUGAAGGCCUUCGGGUUGUAAAGCUCUUUUGUCAGGGAAGAAACGGUGGGGGCUAAUAUCCUCUGCUAAUGACGGUACCUGAAGAAUAAGCACCGGCUAACUACGUGCCAGCAGCCGCGGUAAUACGUAGGGUGCAAGCGUUAAUCGGAAUUACUGGGCGUAAAGCGUGCGCAGGCGGUUGUGCAAGACAGAUGUGAAAUCCCCGGGCUCAACCUGGGAAUUGCAUUUGUGAC